AUGGCGCUGUCAAGCUCGUGGGAUGGCUCCAACGUCCAUGAUGACCACGUCGAGUUCCUCUGUCAGACGCGACGCCUGCCCAGCGAGGACUUCGUUCGGGUUCGUCUAGCGCCGGAGAAGGAGAUUUCGCCGGCACCAGAGGAGGGCGAGCGGGUGAUCUUUCGCUCGCACUGCCUGCGCGGCUUCGGCCUUCCAGCGAGCGGGUUCCUCCGAGCCUUCCUCGAAUUCUACAACCUCCAGCCGCAUCACCUCAUGCCCAACGCGGUGAUGCUGCUGUCGGCCUUCGUCACGCUGUGCGAAGGCUUCCUUGGGGUCCUCCCCAUGCUCGAGCUCUGGGCGGAAUUCUUCCAAAGCAAGCUCGACACCAUCGUCGUGGGCGUGCCCACCCCUUGCGGAGCCUUUAUUGCCAUGAGGCGGGCGAGCGAGAACAACCCGUUCCCGCCCAUCCCGCUGAUCCAGUCGGUGAAGCUCUGGCAGAAGUCAUACUUUUACGUGAAGAAUGUCGCGCAUCAAGGCGACUACGUCAACCUGCCGGCUUAUGAAGCUGGCCCGCCGGCUGGGAGGCGACCCUCGUGGAGCUACCGGGCCAGGUCGUUGUCUCAGGCCAGGAACGCAGCCGUCUCCCGGCUUCGGGUGAUGAUCCAGUCGGAGGGCCUGACCGGAGCCGACAUGGUGGUCGCCUUCGUGGAGCGCCGGGUUCUUCCCCUCCAAAGCCGGCCUCACAUGGUUUGUCAGAUGAGCGGCCGCUUCGACCCAAGCCGGCUGUGCACCAGGGAGAUGCCUUAUGCGGAGGUCUCCUACAUGGUGAACUAUAUCUCCAACUGUAAGCUCGCCGAGGAUUGGCGGUACGGCAAGGGGCCGUACUCUCGCGCCAACCCUCCGCCCGUCAACCAUCUUCUCCCGCCGACAGCCGGGGCCGCGGGGUAG
rnacentral:rRNA from 1 species